GGCAAUGAAAAUUCCAUUUAACUCAAUUUCACCAGUCCUAUACUAGAUAUAAGCCGGACUAGUACCAAAUGUGUCCCCAAGUAAUGCAAAGGUAACCAAUUGACACCUUUUCGUCCCCAAGUAAUGCAAAGAAGCGACAGUUGUGCAUAAAUAAAAACCACAACGAAAAAACCAAACGAACAUUUGAAUGAGAUUUCUACGAACAAGAACCACUUUGAAUAGUUUUUUUUAGAUUACCAAUAAAAAAACAAUGCACCGUUAUUCUUGAGGAAUGCAAGUGCGUUUUGUUUGGAAAAAGCAUUCUUAUUCUGAUCGUUGUGAAGUGAAGUAUAAUUUUUCUGUGCAAAUAAGUUAUAAAGUGUUGAAAAUAACAAAUAAAAAGGUCAAAUCAAAAUUUUAGCUGAUGCUUUAGCUGAGUUGAAGGUGAUGGUGCUACGAUCUCAAAGUGAUGAGAUACCAUUAUCGAAUAGGUUCCCCAUCACUUAUGAAAAAUAUUGAGAAUCAAUACAUAUAUGUAAAGAUUAUAGCAUUAAUUAUAAAAGGAGAGGAAACAUCGAAAUGUUUAAAAAUGUUAUCGGUUUAAAUAUUACUACGAGUAUAAUAUUGAGGGAAACCAUGGAAAAAAGUUUGAAGUCCCUAAGUAAUAUAUACAGCGUUAUUUUAGAUUCAAUACCAGUUACAGAAUAUUCGGACACCCCUGAAACACAACUGCGAAAAGCAAUACAAGUGCUUUUAUAAAUAUUAAAUUAAAUUUAUUUUUGUUCAAGUUUUAUAGAGUAAGGUAUAUUUGUAUUAAUUUGUUUCCAAUAAA